CUGCCGGUGUGAGUCCGGUCCGGGUAGCUGCCAGGAGGCCCGGUAGCAGGCUGGCGGUCUGGUCUGGAAACGGGUCGGGCCGAAGCCCAGCGUCGAAAGCCCUGUGGGGGAAGCGAAUCAGCGGUCCGUAGCGGAA
rfam:Pseudonocardia sp. 73-21 SCNpilot_cont_1000_p_scaffold_525, whole genome shotgun sequence.